UAUCAGUGGUGGUGGAGCCAACCCAGGAUGCAGAACUGGUGGGCUGGUGACCCCUGUGGCAUUUGCAUGCGCUGAUCGUGGGAGGAGUUUUUGAAGGGCCAGAGGUACUAAGGUAGCAGAGAAAAGGAAGGAAAUGGGAAGACUGUCCCUGCCAGUCUCCUCACCUUGCCCAGCGCCUCCCAAUUGUGCAGGGUAAUGGUGCAGGAGACUUUUACCUUCUGUGGAGAGAAGGGUUAGGACAGAAAGCCAAAGGAGCAGCUUCAGUGAAAGUUCUGGUGAAAUUCUUGACACCACUGAGACUGUGGCAGCCAAGCACAGCCAAGCUGGGAAAGAGGGCUCAUCACUCCUGUUUCUGUAACCACAACAUACCAGCGGGACCUGGCAGGGACUAAAGCUGCAGGGAACAACUGCAGUGGCCAUCCUCCUGGCAUAAGACCUGCUCUCACGAGAGGCACCAGCAUCAGCAGAGGCCAGUAGCCUCCCUCGAGGACUUGUGCACCACGGGCUUCCCUGAGACGAUCAAGUAGAAGACCUCGAGGAUACUCUGGCUGAGUACCUGUCAGUUGUCCCUGGAGACUCACAGAAACAGCUGCAGGAGACUUUAAAUGGUUGUGGGGUUGAAAUCCUUCAUUCUUCUAAAGAAGUUCCAGUGUCAAUGUGAAUAUCACUUCUUUUGUUCUGUCCACAGAGAGAAAUGAGAGACACUCAGACACACAUUCCACAAUCAGUAGACAAACGAUCCAAACCUUUAUGCCGAUUCUGUCAGGUGUCUAGCAGUGACCAGGUCCUGGCAAACGAAAUGGAAGCCGGAGAAAUAUGUGCUGCUUCUAGGCCCGGCCCAUAAUAAUCUCCCACUUGCUAUGUCCUGCCUCUGUUUCCACCUCUCAGCUGAAUAGUGACGAUUCCAAAGACCUAGGUAGAGGAGGCCAUACAAUGUAGUUCACGAAAUGGAAGGAGCCCAGCUCCUGAAUUUUUCCUCAAAGAAAGCUACCAGACCACAAAUAGUCACCUUGGCAGAGCACAGGCCUGGCCAUGGAAACCUCUCAUGCAUACAUGCUUCUAGCUGGUUGGGAAGGAGGCAGCCACAUGGUGAAGAUGAUGACACUUUCUUCAGCCUGAGCUCUACAUG
ensembl:lncRNA